rnacentral:rRNA from 1 species
GACGAACGCUGGCGGCGUGCUUAACACAUGCAAGUCGAACGGAAAGGCCCUGCUUUUGUGGGGUGCUCGAGUGGCGAACGGGUGAGUAACACGUGAGUAACCUGCCCUUGACUUUGGGAUAACUUCAGGAAACUGGGGCUAAUACCGGAUAGGAGCUCCUGCUGCAUGGUGGGGGUGGGAAAGUUUCGGCGGUUGGGGAUGGACUCGCGGCUUAUCAGCUUGUUGGUGGGGUAGUGGCUUACCAAGGCUUUGACGGGUAGCCGGCCUGAGAGGGUGACCGGCCACAUUGGGACUGAGAUACGGCACAGCCUCCUACGGGAGGCAGCAGUGGGGAAUAUUGCACAAUGGGAGGAAGCCUGAUGCAGCACCGCCGCGUGCGGGAUGACGGCCUUCGGGUUGUAAACCGCUUUCGCCUGUGACGAAGCGUGAGUGACGGUAAUGGGUAAAGAAGCACCGGCUAACUACGUG